GGAAAGUUACAAUUGGGUCGAAGCUGAUAUUAAGACUGAGGUUCAGGACAAAAACUCAUUGUCUGUGUAACCUAAACUAUGACAAUACAUUCAGAAAAUGCCCAUGGAAGAGGUGGAAAAACAGUAUCAUAAUGAUGCAGCUGAAUUUACUGGGUGAUUCAAGGUAGUAGGAGAUUGAAAAGAUAAGUGGUUGACACGUUUGCAAAAAGGACCUUUCCUUACUGCUUGGGUAAAACUGUUGUUGUGUGGGUAUGAUAAAUAUCUAUAGCAUCGAGCAAAGCAAAAGGAGUUCCCCUAUUCCAUGGAAUUUAUAUUCAGGAGUUUUAAAAGCUGCAUCGCUCAACUCAUAAAACACAGAGAGGAUAGGAUUCAAACUACUAGAAAGAACAAUGAAUGCUGUUUUAGGCUUCAUUUUGUUGGUCUCACUGAUUGCAGAAUGUCACUCUGCUUCAAUCCCUCAAACAGAGUUUGACAUAGAAUUUAAAGAAAUAGGCGAAAUGUUAACAAUAUUAGAGAAAUCAGACAAGGUAAGUUGAUGUAAUACAAUUGUUCUAUCCUAGCCAGAUAUACAUAAAAACAUGUUUAAUGAAUGAUAUUUUAAGAAGUAUUUAACAUAUUGAACUGUAUUUGUUUCAUAGAUGUGUCCAAGUGACUGCCAAGAGACAAAUGAGACUGAAUGCAAGUGUGUCUACCUACCCAACACAACUGGCUGCACUAAUUAUCAAUAUAUUGAACAAGGACUGAAAACUUUAAACUUACACUGUGUUUUUUCCAACAUCAUGACACAAAAAAUAUGCCAAGUGCUUGAAAGGUUGAAGGAUAUUGUGAAGGAUGAGACAAGUAUGUGUGUUACACCAAUGGCCCCGAAAGAUUUUUUGCGCCAAAUUAAAAUUGAGCACCAAAAAUAUAAAAGUCAGCAAAGAAGUAGCUAAUUCCAUUAGAACGAUUACAAUUAAUACUAUUUAUUUGUUGUAUUUUCUUUAUAUUAUUUAUUUUAGUUUUUGUGACCAGGCAUCCAUGACAGCCCUAGCUGUGGAUUACUGGAACAUUUAACUAUUGUAUUUUAUUGUAUUGCACUGUUCUGUGUUCAACUCUGUUCCUUUUCUCUGGGUAUCAACAGUGACUUUUUGUCUUUCUCUCUAACCUAUUGGUAACUAGCAAUAGGUUAUACUAUAAUAGAUACUUUCUCUAGAUAAAGCACUUCUUGUAAGUUGCUCUGGAUAAGGGUGUCUGUUCAAUGCUGUAAAUGUAACUUUUUGUUGAUGGUGCUGUCGUAGUUUCAUACUGUAUGUUUCAGUACUUUUUCAUGUUAAAAGCAGAAUACAAUGAGUCUAAAGGAAAUGUAAUAAAUAUACAGAAAAUAUUCUUUUACCAAAUUUUGGUCAUUGU
ensembl:lncRNA